CCAUAAUAGAUGCGAAAUACUUACCGCACUGAGAGAUAGCUGGUUGCUCAACAAAGAUAUAAAAGUAUCUUCCUUUUUCUAAAGGAAAAAAUAACAAAAGGAUAAGCUUUUGUUAAUGUAAUGGGUCGAAACUACCAUANUUUUAACAGUAGGAAUAAAANUUUUCCACCAACAAUUUUAUUAUNAAAAUAUAAAACUAUAUUUGGAAAAUAAAUCUCUAUACCCCUUACUCCCCAUUGAGCCAUAUAGACAAACUAAGUGUCUAUAACAUCGAUGNUUUCAUGAGUAUUACAUAACCCCUAAUAACUUAUUCUAGAACAUAAGUAGAUAUAAACUUAGGAAAUUAAAUGCCUGNUAAGGAACUCGGCAAACUUACUAACUUCGCCUGUUUAUCAAAAACAUGUCUCUUAGUAAUUAUUAAGAGUCCAGCCUGCCCAGUGAUUACUUUAACGGCCGCGGUACCCUGACCGUGCAAAGGUAGCAUAAUCAUUUGCCUUUUAAUUGAAGGCUAGUAUGAACGGCUAGACGAGAGUAAAAACUGUCUCACAUGCAUUUCACAGAAAUUAAUCUAAAGGUGCAAAAGCCUUUAUUUACCAAAAAGACGAGNAAGACCCUGUUGAGCUUUAAUCCUAACUAGGCAUACUUUUAUAUUCAUAUAAUUCAUCUGCCUAGCAGAGAUUUUAAUUGGGGCGAUUAAGGAACAACCCAAAGCUUCCUGAUAAACAAUUAAAUAUUGAUAAAUUAAAUCGAUCCAGCACUGCUGAUCAACAAAAUGAGUUACCACAGGGAUAACAGCAUAAUUCUUUUUAAGAGCCCAUAUCGAAAAAAGAGAUUGUGACCUCGAUGUUGGACUAGGGUAACAGAAAGGUGUAGCCGCUUUUCUGCUUGGUCUGUUCGACCAAUAAUUCCCUACAUGAUCUGAGUUCAGACCGGCGUAAGCCAGGUCAGUUUCUAUCUUUUAUUCAACCCCAUCUAAGUUAGUACGAAAGGACCACUUAGAAUAAAUACUUUAUUACGUGUAGAAAGCAACUAACACUCAAUUA
rnacentral:rRNA from 1 species